UCGAUAACGAAGAGACCUUAACCUGCUAAAUAGCUGUAACAAUAGAUUAUUGUUUUGACAGCUUCUUAGAGGGACUAUCGAUUUUCAAGUCGAUGGAAGUUUGAGGCAAUAACAGGUCUGUGAUGCCCUUAGACGUUCUGGGCCGCACGCGCGCUACACUGACGGAGCCAGCGAGUCUAACCUGUGCCGAGAGGUAUGGGUAAUCUUGUGAAACUCCGUCGUGCUGGGGAUAGAGCAUUGCAAUUAUUGCUCUUCAACGAGGAAUUCCUAGUAAGCGCAAGUCAUCAGCUUGCGUUGAUUACGUG
rnacentral:rRNA from 1 species